rnacentral:rRNA from 1 species
GACGAACCGUGCGAACGUUAUUCGGAAUCACUGGGCUUAAAGCGCGUGUAGGCGGGUCGGCACGUCGGUCGCUGAAAUCCCCCGGCUCAACCGGGGAAGGGGCGCCGAUACGGCCGGCCUGGAGGGACGUAGGGGGGCUGGAACUUCCGGUGGAGCGGUGAAAUGCGUUGAGAUCGGAAGGAACGCCCGUGGCGAAAGCGAGCCCCUGGACGUCUACUGACGCUGAGACGCGAAAGCCAGGGGAGCGAACGGG